rnacentral:rRNA from 1 species
CGGGCGACGCGCCGGUCUAAGUCCCUUGGAACGGGGCGUCAUAGAGGGUGAGAAUCCCGUAUGUGACCGGCGACCGAGCCUGUGUGAAACCCCUUCGACGAGUCGAGUUGUUUGGGAAUGCAGCUCAAAGCGGGUGGUAAAUUUCAUCUAAAGCUAAAUACCGGCCAGAGACCGAUAGCGCACAAGUAGAGUGAUCGAAAGAUGAAAAGCACUUUGGAAAGAGAGUCAAAAAGUACGUGAAAUUGUUGAAAGGGAAGCGCUUGCAACCAGACCUGCCCGCGGGUGAUCAGCCGUCCUUCGGGGCGGUGCACUCGCCCGCGAUCAGGCCAGCAUCGGUUCGGGCGGCCGGAUAAAGGCCUUGGGAACGUGGCUCCCCUCGGGGAGCGUUAUAGCCCUCGGUGCAAUGCGGCCCGCCCGGACCGAGGACCGCGCUUCGGCUAGGAUGCUGGCGUAAUGGUUGUAAGCGGCCCGUCUUGAAACACGGACCAAGGAGUCGACCAACCGUGCGAGUGUUUGGGCGUCAACCCCACACGCGCAAUGAAAGUGAACGGAGGUGGGAACCCCUCGCGGGGCGCACCAUCGACCGAUCCAGAUGUCUUCGGAUGGAUUUGAGUACGAGCAUGGCUGGUCGGACCCGAAAGAUGGUGAACUAUGCCUGGAUAGGGUGAAGCCAGAGGAAACUCUGGUGGAGGCUCGCAGCGGUUCUGACGUGCAAAUCGAUCGUCAAAUUUGGGCAUAGGGGCGAAAGACUAAUCGAACCAUC